AAGAAAUUUUGAACUCAAGUGGUAGCACAUCAGCGAAAACUUUACGGGCCUGGAAACUUUUUUCCCAUUCAUGUGGAUACAAUCUGAUUGAUAUUGACUUCAAUGCUCUACAUCAGAAUUGCUCACAGCUAACAGAGAAAUGGCAAGGUUUUAGAACAAAAAUUAUAUCAAUUUUGAAUAAGAGGGUAAAGGAUAUUCAAAAUCUUCAGCACUUGAAAAAAGUUAAUGAGAUUGAUAAAGGUUCAGAUCAACUUAUAGCAUUGUUACUGCACGUUGUACUACGACCUAAUAUAAAGCGGAAGGCAGGUGACAAAACGAUUUUUAGAAGUACUAUCAAAGAUUCUCAGCUCUCGUUUUUACUACAAGUUAGUACUGUGAACGAUGUCGAAAAUAAAUUGGAUAAUCUGAAAAAAUCACUCUAUGCACGCGGUGAGACAUUGCAACCACUAAUUAUCGCAAUUGGCAGUGAUUUAAGUAAUUGCAAAUUUUAUGUUUACUAUGACGACAUUAAGUAUGAGCUUCCUUAAUUUUUAAGCGCUUUAGACAUAUGUUUUAAGACUUUCCAUGUAUUACAUUUAAAAUAUCCACAGGAUAGCAUUGAGUUUUGGACGUUUGUCCAAAGAUAUUUUUAUUCCAUUGAAUUGACUGAAGAUAAAACUUCUCCAAAUGUCCUUUGUUUGCUGAGGGACUUAAUUUAAUUUAUUAAGUAUAGAUACGUAGUCACAUAAAUCUUAACACCUUCAAUAUUCAAUAAUUAUUAUUAAAUAUUA